GAACGCUAGCGGCAGGCUUAACACAUGCAAGUCGAGGGGCAGCGGGGAGGAAGCUUGCUUUGCUCCGCCGGCGACCGGCGCACGGGUGAGUAACACGUAUGCAACCUGCCCCUGUCAGGGGGACAACCCGCCGAAAGGCGGGCUAAACCCGCGUACAUGCCACCGGGGCAUCCCGGAGGCAGGAAAGGCUUCGGCCGGACAGGGAUGGGCAUGCGGCGCAUUAGGCAGUAGGCGGGGUAACGGCCCACCUAACCGACGAUGCGUAGGGGUUCUGAGAGGAAGGUCCCCCACACUGGUACUGAGACACGGACCAGACUCCUACGGGAGGCAGCAGUGAGGAAUAUUGGUCAAUGGUCGGGAGACUGAACCAGCCAAGCCGCGUGAGGGAGGAAGGUACAGAGUAUCGUAAACCUCUUUUGUCAGGGAACAAAGACUGGGACGCGUCCCCGGAUGAGUGUACCUGAAGAAAAAGCAUCGGCUAACUCCGUGCCAGCAGCCGCGGUAAUACGGAGGAUGCGAGCGUUAUCCGGAUUUAUUGGGUUUAAAGGGUGCGCAGGCGGUCUGUUAAGUCAGCGGUCAAAGCCCGGGGCUCAACCCCGGCCCGCCGUUGAAACUGGCAGUCUCGAGUUGGAGAGAAGUAUGCGGAAUGCGCGGUGUAGCGGUGAAAUGCAUAGAUAUCGCGCAGAACUCCGAUUGCGAAGGCAGCAUGCCGGCUCCACACUGACGCUGAGGCACGAAAGCGUGGGUAUCGAACAGGAUUAGAUACCCUGGUAGUCCACGCAGUAAACGAUGAAUGCUGGCUGUCCGGGGGGACUGACCCCUGGGUGGCGAAGCGAAAGCGAUAAGCAUUCCACCUGGGGAGUACGCCGGCAACGGUGAAACUCAAAGGAAUUGACGGGGGCCCGCACAAGCGGAGGAACAUGUGGUUUAAUUCGAUGAUACGCGAGGAACCUUACCCGGGCUCAAACGGGGAGUGGCGCAGGCAGAGACGCCUGUUUCCCACGGGACACUCCCCGAGGUGCUGCAUGGUUGUCGUCAGCUCGUGCCGUGAGGUGUCGGCUUAAGUGCCAUAACGAGCGCAACCCCCGCGUGCAGUUGCUAACAGUCAACGCUGAGGACUCUGCACGGACUGCCGGCGCAAGCCGCGAGGAAGGCGGGGAUGACGUCAAAUCAGCACGGCCCUUACGUCCGGGGCGACACACGUGUUACAAUGGGUGGUACAGCGGGAAGCCAGGCGGCGACGCCGAGCGGAACCCGAAAUCCACUCUCAGUUCGGAUCGGAGUCUGCAACCCGACUCCGUGAAGCUGGAUUCGCUAGUAAUCGCGCAUCAGCCAUGGCGCGGUGAAUACGUUCCCGGGCCUUGUACACACCGCCCGUCAAGCCAUGGGAGCCGAGGGCGCUUGAAGUGCGUCGCCGCGAGGCGCGCCCUAGAGCGAAAUCGGUGACU
rnacentral:rRNA from 1 species